rnacentral:tRNA from 1 species
GCCCCCGUAGCUUAACGGAUAGAGUAAAUGGCUUCGAACCAUUUGAUGGGGGUUCGAUUCCUCCCGGGGGCG